rnacentral:lncRNA from 14 species
AUGAAGCAGGGCAUUGCUGCAGGGAGACUCUGGGAGUUCCGGGGUGAAGAGAUCUGCCUUGAUCUGGAGACCUCUGCUGAAGGUGAAGACCUCCUAACGGGCCAGACAGCCUUAGCAGGAGUUCAGAAGUCUUACACCAAGAUCGCUGCCGCUCGCUCCUGGAGCGCAGGGGGGACGGCCAGACUCCCGCAUCUUUCAGCAAGAAGAAAGGAGCCAGCGGAGCGGACUAAUACGGACUUGUGUCGGGUGCCCUUGCCCUACAAAGGCUGCCUUUAAAAGAGGAACGCAGUGCUAUUUAAUGAGCUGUGAGAUGAGGCACUGCUGCUAACGCUCAAAUCCCAGGAUUCAUCGGCUAUUCAUUGUGCUUAAUGUACAUGUUUCUGCACCGUGCAUUUAGGAGAUCCCAGAGAAGAAUCCAAAACGGCUG